UAGGAACGUUAACCUCGUCCCUUACAAGGGAGGGGAUACAUUCUGAAAAGAAUGCUAAUACCGCAUGACAUAUGAUUGUCGCAUGGCAGACAUAUCAAAGAUUUAUCGCUUGAAGAUGGACUCGCGUCCGAUUAGUUAGUUGGUGAGGUAAAGGCCCACCAAGACCGCGAUCGGUAGCCGGACUGAGAGGUUGAACGGCCACAUUGGGACUGAGACACGGCCCAGACUCCUACGGGAGGCAGCAGUGGGGGAUAUUGCGCAAUGGGGGCAACCCUGACGCAGCAACGCCGCGUGAAGGAUGAAGGUUUUCGGAUUGUAAACUUCUUUUAUUAAGGACGAAUAAUGACGGUACUUAAUGAAUAAGCUCCGGCUAACUACGUG
rnacentral:rRNA from 1 species